GCUGUGGUCAGCGUCAUUUUAAAUUGCCAUAGUAACGACUGACGCCAGUGCGUCACUGGCAAGAAUCAUUCGGAGUUUCCGAAUGGAAAGGACUCGUAUACCUACGUAGAAGCCCCCUGCUUGCCCAUCCAUUUUCAAUUUCGAGGGUUACGGUGUAGGGGUUACCGACCGACCAUCAACUACAUUGCUGACUUCGGAGUCAAGCAAAAGCCGGACUGCACUUGAGAGGCGACGCGAAAUAAUGGAGCCUGAACGUAUGACAUCUUCGUACCUGGAAAGGUUUUCAUCCUGGAGGAGACUGCAGCAGGAGGAAGCAGAGGAGGAAGUGGGAGUCCCAGACCAGAGUGGGAAAGUUGUUUGCAGGAAAUCUGUUGGUGCCAUCAGCGGUCUUCCUUACUGGCGGGCUCCCACUUCACUUUUGUGGAAACAUGUCACCUCCUCAGCCUGGUGACAAUGUCACUGCCACAGUUCUCAAAACAACUGCGCAGCCACAUGUGGACCCAGCACACAGAGGCCAUUCUGGCUACAAUUGGUGACAGUCCACUAAUCGUAUCUGGAGACGCACGGUGUGAUUCGCCAGGCCAUUGUGCCUCUUUUGGCUCUUACACCAUCCUGGACUCUGCUCCCCACCUGAUCCUCCUCCAGGAGACUGUUCUUCCUUUGGCUCUUACACCAUCCUGGACUCUGCUCCCCACCUGAUCCUCCCCCAGGAGACUGUUCUUCCUUUGGCUCUUACACCAUCCUGGACUCUGCUUCCCACCUGAUCCUCCCCCAGGAGACUGUUCAUGUGACUGAAGUGAAGAACAGCUAGUGUUUCCAUUGCCCUUUAAUCAGGAUUUAAAUGUUGUUUUUGCUAAACUCAUUUUGCAAAAAGAUAGGGAUUAGGAUAGUUUUAAUGCUGAAAAUCAGGAUUAUCUUGAUCCCACUGCAAGGUUGGAUUUAGAAAGGUGUUAGAAAGGUGAAAUGUACUACAACCAUUUAUAUGUAACUAAGGUGAGGAGGUUUAGAAAACAUUCUUACAUCUGAAAACCAAAGGUUCAUUGUGUUAAAUUGACUCCAGUAAAGGUAUUUGGUCAGUUGGUAUAUUGAGAAGUGAUAGGUUCUAUUAUGUUUCAUCAAGGUAUCUUUAUUCAUGUAGUUUACAAGUGGCGGUAGGUAGUUUAGUGGUUAGAGCGUUGGGCCAGUAACCGAAAGGUUGCUAGAUCGAAUCCCU